rnacentral:lncRNA from 1 species
GGUAGUGGAUGGUUUUCAUGUACAUACUCUGCGUUUUGUGUAUUCGCUGGAGCGAGGUGUUAUGGUGGACUUUUGUAUGUACAGUGAACCCUUUAAGUUUUAUAUAUGUUUAGUUUUAGCAGCUCUGUACUUUUGUUGUAAUUUCUAUUCGUUUGUAGGUACAGCUAUCGUUUCGUAUACACGAAAAAUUCCUAUGUAUAUGGCAGGUCUGUUGGCGUGCCCGGUGAAACGUGGUAAUCCGAUGCGUGACAUUAAUAUUUAUGAUUCAUAUAUACAAUAGCAGCGUUACUUUGUA